rnacentral:rRNA from 1 species
GAUGAACGCUGGCGGCGUGCCUAACACAUGCAAGUCGAACGAAGCGCUGGAACGGAUUUCUUCGGAUUGAAGAUCCAGUGACUGAGUGGCGGACGGGUGAGUAACGCGUGGGUAACCUGCCUCAUACAGGGGGAUAACAGUUAGAAAUGGCUGCUAAUACCGCAUAAGCGCACAGCUUCGCAUGGAGCAGUGUGAAAAACUCCGGUGGUAUGAGAUGGACCCGCGUCAGAUUAGGUAGUUGGUGGGGUAAUGGCCUACCAAGCCGACGAUCUGUAGCCGACCUGAGAGGGUGACCGGCCACAUUGGGACUGAGACACGGCCCAAACUCCUACGGGAGGCAGCAGUGGGGAAUAUUGCACAAUGGGGGAAACCCUGAUGCAGCGACGCCGCGUGAGCGAAGAAGUAUUUCGGUAUGUAAAGCUCUAUCAGCAGGGAAGAUAAUGACGGUACCUGACUAAGAAGCUCCGGCUAAAUACGUGCCAGCAGCCGCGGUAAUACGUAUGGAGCAAGCGUUAUCCGGAUUUACUGGGUGUAAAGGGAGCGUAGACGGUUGUGCAAGUCUGAUGUGAAAUUCCAGGGCUUAACCCUGGACCUGCAUUGGAAACUGUAUAACUAGAGUGUCGGAGAGGUGAGUGGAAUUCCUAGUGUAGCGGUGAAAUGCGUAGAUAUUAGGAGGAACACCAGUGGCGAAGGCGGCUCACUGGACGAUAACUGACGUUGAGGCUCGAAAGCGUGGGGAGCAAACAGGAUUAGAUACCCUGGUAGUCCACGCCGUAAACGAUGUGUAUUAGGUGUUGGGGAGCAAAGCUCUUCGGUGCCGUCGCAAACGCAAUAAGUACACCACCUGGGGAGUACGUUCGCAAGAAUGAAACUCAAAGG